AUGCCAUCCACUGCCCCCCACCCCGGUCCUGGGGGCCUUGGGUUGUGGGCCUCCCCUCAGGAACUUACACAGGUGAGCGGCAAGGUGACACGGUCGCACGAGGCAGGGCACACCCGCCCCUUGUCCCCUGGGGUCUGCGCAGGCGCACAGGCACCUGCGCAUGCGCGAGCUUCAGGCUGCUCCAGAGCGGUGACUGGAGGUCAAGGCCUGUGCGUGCGGGAGGCGGCCAGUCGGCAUCGUAUUAUUCUGGGAAUGAACGCCUUACUAUCAACAACUGGGCACCUGCUCACCGUCCAUCCUGAAACCACAGGCACCAAACACGUACAAUGACAAGUUCAUCUGUGGCCAUGAUGUUGUUCUCUCAGCAUUCUUCAACCACUUAACUACCUAAGAUUUAAGCCUAUACGUGUGAAAACUAUUUUACAAAGACCUCAUUAUAUUCCCACCAAAGCUGGAUUCUACUCCUUCCAGAGAACUACUGGGCCCUUCUCCUUGGACAAAAUCACCAUGAAUUUGAGAAAACGCCCCUAAUCGCUUAAUGAGUGGCAGGAAGAAUUACAGGAUGUUAAAUUGCCUUGGUGUCAUCUAGGGAGAAUUUUUUCAAUUUUAUGCUUCCAAUGGGAGAGUACAGAUAACUGUUACUAUUACAACAAAUGUGGGCAUAUCGUGGAAUUAAAUGCAAAACGUUCUUGCUUUUAUUUUAUUUUAUCUUUUAGUGUUACAAUGACAUUGCAAAG
rnacentral:lncRNA from 12 species